CGGGUGAGUAACGCGUGAGGAACCUGCCUCAAAGAGGGGGACAACAGUUGGAAACGACUGCUGAUACCGCAUAAGCCCACGGCUCGGCAUCGAGCAGAGGGAAAAGGAGUGAUCCGCUUUGAGAUGGCCUCGCGUCCGAUUAGCUGGUUGGUGAGGUAACGGCCCACCAAGGCGACGAUCGGUAGCCGGACUGAGAGGUUGAACGGCCACAUUGGGACUGAGACACGGCCCAG
rnacentral:rRNA from 1 species